rnacentral:tRNA from 1 species
GGUGCAGUGGUUAAAUGCUUGGCUGCUAUCCAAGAGCUUGGUGGCUCAAAUCCACCCAGCAUCU